GACAGGAAUUAUUAGCUGAGUGGGGUGAAAGGUUUACUCAAUUAGAGCGCAAAUGUGACAAAAUGCAAGCUCAUGUGGAAACUAUGGGAUAUCCAAUGCCUCAAUCACCACCAAUGCCUUCACAUAUUGGAGGGAAUGGUUCCAGACCAUCAUUCAAUAUGCAAUAGGUUCCAGAUGCCUCUAGUUCUCACCAGUUGAAUGAAGAGCUAAUGGUUCCAUCACAUGAAGUUGGACAAGAAGUAGAAUUACUUACUUCUAAAUUGCCAAAACAAGUUGUGGCAAUUGGCA